rnacentral:hammerhead_ribozyme from 1 species
AUCUAGCUGACGAGUCCCAAAUAGGACAGUACGCGUAUCCUUGAU